AAAAGGUGGCUAUGCUACCGCUUUUGGAUGGGCCCGCGGCGCAUUAGCUAGUUGGUGGGGUAAAGGCUUACCAAGGCAAUGAUGCGUAGCCGAACUGAGAGGUUGAUCGGCCACAUUGGGACUGAGACACGGCCCAAACUCCUACGGGAGGCAGCAGUAGGGAAUCUUCCACAAUGGGCGAAGGCCUGAUGGAGCAACGCCGCGUGGGUGAAGAAGGUCUUCGGAUCGUAAAACCCUGUUGUUAGAGAAGAAAGUGCGUGAGAGUAACUGUUCACGUUUCGACGGUAUCUAACCAGAAAGCCACGGCUAACUACGUGCCAGCAGCCGCGGUAAUACGUAGGUGGCAAGCGUUAUCCGGAUUUAUUGGGCGUAAAGGGAACGCAGGCGGUCUUUUAAGUCUGAUGUGAAAGCCUUCGGCUUAACCGGAGUAGUGCAUUGGAAACUGGGAGACUUGAGUGCAGAAGAGGAGAGUGGAACUCCAUGUGUAGCGGUGAAAUGCGUAGAUAUAUGGAAGAACACCAGUGGCGAAAGCGGCUCUCUGGUCUGUAACUGACGCUGAGGUUCGAAAGCGUGGGUAGCAAACAGGAUUAGAUACCCUGGUAGUCCACGCCGUAAACGAUGAAUGCUAAGUGUUGGAGGGUUUCCGCCCUUCA
rnacentral:rRNA from 1 species